GGCUCAGGACGAACGCUGGCGGCGCGCCUAAUACAUGCAAGUCGAGCGAGAAGACGUAGCAAUACGUUUGUAAAGCGGCGAACGGGUGAGGAAUACAUGGGUAACCUACCCUCGAGUGGGGAAUAACUAGCCGAAAGGUUAGCUAAUACCGCAUACGGCUCCUGGUCUGCGGAUCGGGAGAGAAAGCGAUACCGUGGGUAUCGCGCUCUUGGAUGGGCUCAUGUCCUAUCAGCUUGUUGGUGAGGUAACGGCUCACCAAGGCUUCGACGGGUAGCUGGUCUGAGAGGACGAUCAGCCACACUGGCACUGCGACACGGGCCAGACUCCUACGGGAGGCAGCAGUAAGGAAUAUUGCGCAAUGGGCGAAAGCCUGACGCAGCGACGCCGCGUGGGGGAUGAAGGUCUUCGGAUUGUAAACCCCUUUCGGCAGGGAAGAUGGAACGGGUAACCGUUCGGACGGUACCUGCAGAAGCAGCCACGGCUAACUUCGUGCCAGCAGCCGCGGUAAUACGAAGGUGGCAAGCGUUGUUCGGAUUUACUGGGCGUACAGGGAGCGUAGGCGGUUGGGUAAGCCCUCCGUGAAAUCUCCGGGCCUAACCCGGAAAGUGCGGAGGGGACUGCUCGGCUAGAGGAUGGGAGAGGAGCGCGGAAUUCCCGGUGUAGCGGUGAAAUGCGUGGAGA
rnacentral:rRNA from 1 species